AGCUUGUGUUGAGAAAUUUUAUUACCAUGAUGAGGACAUGCAGCAUCAGGCUGCCAACAUUGAACUAAAGAAGUUUCAGAACAGAGAAGGACCCUUUAGCUUGCUAGGACUUUUGAAAAUUUUGAUUACAACCCAGCAUCAUGGUGGAGAUUGUAUGGAUAUGAAACACCAGCUUUACAGAAGAUGGCUACAAGGAUCCUAUCUUUGACAUCAAGCUCUUCUGGUUGUGAAAGAAAUUGGAGUGGGUUUGAAGCGAUACACACUAAGAAGAGGAAUAGGCUUACUACAGCCCGCCUCAACAAGCUGGUGUAUAUCCAAUUCAACUCCAAGCUGCUUAGUAAGAGAG